AACGAACGCUGGCGGCGGGCUUAACACAUGCAAGUCGAGCGCCCCGCAAGGGGAGCGGCAGACGGGUGAGUAAGGCGUGGGAAUCUACCCAUCUCUACGGAAUAACGCAUGGAAACGUGUGCUAAUACCGUAUACGGCCUUCGGGAGUAAGAUUUAUUGGAGAUGGAUGAGCCCGCGUUGGAUUAGCUAGUUGGUGGGGUAAAGGCCUACCAAGGCGACGAUCCAUAGCUGGUCUGAGAGGAGUAGCAGCCACACUGGGACUGAGACACGGCCCAGAAUCCUACGGGAGGCAGCAGUGGGGAAUAUUGGACAAUGGGCGCAAGCCUGAUACAGCCAUGCCGCGUGAGUGAUGAAGGCCCUAGGGUUGUAAAGCUCUUUCACAGGUGAAGAUAAUGACGGUAACCGGAGAAGAAGCCCCGGCUAACUUCGUGCCAGCCGCCGCAGUAAUAC
rnacentral:rRNA from 1 species